GAUGAACGCUGGCGGCGUGCCUAAUACAUGCAAGUCGAGCGAACAGACGAGGAGCUUGCUCCUCUGACGUUAGCGGCGGACGGGUGAGUAACACGUGGAUAACCUACCUAUAAGACUGGGAUAACUUCGGGAAACCGGAGCUAAUACCGGAUAAUAUAUUGAACCGCAUGGUUCAAUAGUGAAAGACGGUUUUGCUGUCACUUAUAGAUGGAUCCGCGCCGCAUUAGCUAGUUGGUAAGGUAACGGCUUACCAAGGCAACGAUGCGUAGCCGACCUGAGAGGGUGACCGCCCACACUGGAACUGAGACACGUUCCAGACUCCUACGGGAGGCAGCAGUAGGGAAUCUUCCGCAAUGGGCGAAGGCCUGACGGAGCAACGCCGCGUGAGUGAUGAAGGUCUUCGGAUCGUAAAACUCUGUUAUUAGGGAAGAACAAAUGUGUAAGUAACUAUGCACGUCUUGACGGUACCUAAUCAGAAAGCCACGGCUAACUACGUG
rnacentral:rRNA from 1 species